rnacentral:rRNA from 1 species
AACGAACGCUGGCGGCAGGCUUAACACAUGCAAGUCGAGCGCCCCGCAAGGGGAGCGGCAGACGGGUGAGUAACGCGUGGGAAUCUACCCAUCUCUACGGAAUAACGCAUGGGAACGUGUGCUAAUACCGUAUACGUCCUUCGGGAGAAAGAUUUAUCGGAGAUGGAUGAGCCCGCGUUGAUUAGCUAGUUGGUGGGGUAAAGGCCUACCAAGGCGACGAUCCAUAGCUGGUCUGAGAGGAUGAUCAGCCACACUGGGACUGAGACACGGCCCAGACUCCUACGGGAGGCAGCAGUGGGGAAUAUUGGACAAUGGGCGCAAGCCUGAUCCAGCCAUGCCGCGUGAGUGAUGAAGGCCCUAGGGUUGUAAAGCUCUUUCACCGGUGAAGAUAAUGACGGUAACCGGAGAAGAAGCCCCGGCUAACUUCGUGCCAGCCGCCGCAGUAAAAC